CACCUCUCAGGGUCGCACCUGGAGAGUUUCCAGCCCUCUCCCAGUCUCGACUAUGGGAGGGAGAGAGUAGGCAGAGGCCUACCCAUUCCAUUCCUAGCUUGGCCAGUGGCAAGCGAGUGGAAGGCAAUCUGCUACAAGU